GAUGAACGCUGGCGGCGUGCCUAAUACAUGCAAGUCGAGCGAACGGACGAGAAGCUUGCUUCUCUGAUGUUAGCGGCGGACGGGUGAGUAACACGUGGAUAACCUACCUAUAAGACUGGGAUAACUUCGGGAAACCGGAGCUAAUACCGGAUAAUAUUUUGAACCGCAUGGUUCAAAAGUGAAAGACGGUCUUGCUGUCACGUAUAGAUGGAUCCGCGCUGGAUUAGCUAGUUGGUAAGGUAACGGCUUACCAAGGCAACGAUGCAUAGCCGACCUGAGAGGGUGAUCGGCCACACUGGAACUGAGACACGGUCCAGACUCCUACGGGAGGCAGCAGUAGGGAAUCUUCCGCAAUGGGCGAAAGCCUGACGGAGCAACGCCGCGUGAGUGAUGAAGGUCUUCGGAUCGUAAAACUCUGUUAUUAGGGAAGAACAUAUGUGUAAGUAACUGUGCACAUCUUGACGGUACCUAAUCAGAAAGCCACGGCUAACUACGUG
rnacentral:rRNA from 1 species